rnacentral:rRNA from 1 species
GAUGAACGCUGGCGGCGUGCCUAAUACAUGCAAGUCGAGCGAACGGACGAGAAGCUUGCUUCUCUGAUGUUAGCGGCGGACGGGUGAGUAGCACGUGGAUAACCUACCUAUAAGACUGGGAUAACUUCGGGAAACCGGAGCUAAUACCGGAUAAUAUUUUGAACCGCAUGGUUCAAAAGUAAAAGACGGUCUUGCUGUCACUUAUAGAUGGAUCCGCGCUGCAUUAGCUAGUUGGUAAGGUAACGGCUUACCAAGGCAACGAUGCAUAGCCGACCUGAGAGGGUGAUCGGCAACACUGGAACUGAGACACGGUCCAGACUCCGACGGGAGGAAGCAGAAGGGAAUCUUCCGCAAUGGGCGAAAGCCUGACGGAGCAACGCCGCGUGAGUGAUGAAGGUCUUCGGAUCGUAAAACUCUGUUAUUAGGGAAGAACAUAUGUGUAAGUAACUGUGCACAUCUUGACGGUACCUAAUCAGAAAGCCACGGCUAACUACGUG